UACGUAGGUGGCAAGCGUUGUCCGGAUUUAUUGGGUUUAAAGGGUGCGUAGGCGGUCUAAUAAGUCAGUGCUGAAAUAUCCCGGCUUAACCGGGAGGGUGGCAUUGAUACUGUUGGACUUGAGUAGAGUUGAGAUUGGCGGAAUUGACGGUGUAGCGGUGAAAUGCUUAGAUAUCGUCAAGAACACCGAUAGUGAAGACAGCUAACUAAGCUCAAACUGACGCUGAGGCACGAAAGUGUGGGGAUCAAACAGG
rnacentral:rRNA from 1 species